CAGAGAAGAUUUCUUUUUAUCUCUGAUUUUAGCAUCGUCAUCAAGGUUUUUGGUGUUGAGAUCACAUCUUUGAAAACAGCAGGUUCUAACUGAUAUGUAUUUUUGUGAAAGUAAUUGAAAUUAUCCUGUCUGAGCUUAGUUCUCUAUUAUUGUGACUGAAGUUAUAAGUGUUUAGCUUGAUGUCGAUGAUAUUUACCUUAUCGGACACAUGCAAGAUUUGUCCUAUAAAAUUCUUGCUAUCUGCCUUUACAUUUGCCAGGGAUAACAAUCAUGGGAACUGUUACCUCAAGUAGUCUGUUCGUAGAACUGCAUUCACAAAAAUCACUUGCUAUCAGGUUUAUAUUUAGUAGAUUUCAAUGUGUACACUUGCAUUGCAGCCACUGAAAGUGCUUAGCACUUAAAACACACAACCAUCAAUUAGAAUGCUGGAAAACCACACGCGCAUGCACGUGCGCACACACAGAGGAACAUGGAUAUAUACACACUAGUGGGUGUGAAAAUGUAAAAAACAUUUAUGUUCAUGAAGUUGUUGCUGUUUUGUUUAGACCACGUGCAUUCAAUGUUGUCGCUUUCCUCAAUAGGAUAAUGAUCUUUUCGAGUUUGAUGAGUCUCGAGAAAUAAUAGAAAGCUUGAUUGAUGAAUACAAGGCAUGCGAGUCACCAGAUUAUAUCAAAUGGGGAUGGAGGAUGCUGACCGAUCAUUGACAGGAGAAGCCAGUGUUGCUGGAGCAUUGGAAUCGAAGUUGACGAUGUAAUCAAGUAGGGCGUGUGAUAAGGCAAAAGGUACAAGCUUGAAUAUUGCUACAGAACUCGUCCUUGUAAUCCGAAAGAUUACGGUCAAGAUGUUCAAAUCGUGAAGUUAUUUUGUCGUGUGUACAUAUGUAUGGAGAGAAUUACCAUUCGUUGUGUUUCGGUGUGGCCUUGUAUUCAUGAGAAUUUAUACUUUAUAUUAGGAAUAUCAUGACAUUUAUUUUAGAUUUGUUUUGAUUCUUUCAUUUACUUUAUAAGCAUUCUUGUUAGGUUGUAAUUUCCACCAUCUUCUGAUGUGAAAACUUGUGUUUAUGUGGCUUUGGUUUCUUAUU